GUUGGGCGCAGUGGCGCACGCCUGUAAUCCCAGCGGCUUGGGAAGCUGAGGCAGGAGGAUCAUGAGUUCAAAGCCAGCUGAUCAGCAGUUUAGCAAGGCCCUAAGCAACUUAGUGAGACCCUGUCUCUA
rnacentral:sRNA from 1 species